UACAGAGGGGGCAAGCGUUGUUCUGAAUUACUGGGCGUAAAGGGCGCGUAGGCGGCCUGUUAAGUCGAACGUGAAAUCCCCGGGCUCAACCCGGGAACUGCGUCCGAUACUGGCAGGCUUGAAUCCGGGAGAGGGAUGCGGAAUUCCAGGUGUAGCGGUGAAAUGCGUAGAUAUCUGGAGGAACACCGGUGGCGAAGGCGGCAUCCUGGACCGGCAUUGACGCUGAGGCGCGAAAGCCAGGGGAGCAAACGGG
rnacentral:rRNA from 1 species